rnacentral:rRNA from 1 species
GCUGAUUAGGUCGUUGGUGGGGUAAAGGCCCACCAAGCCGAUGAUCGGUACGGGUUGUGAGAGCAAGAGCCCGGAGAUGGAACCUGAGACAAGGUUCCAGACCCUACGGGGUGCAGCAGGCGCGAAACCUCCACAAUGUACGAAAGUGCGAUGGGGGGAUCCCAAGUGCUAUUCUUAACAGAAUAGCUUUUCAUUAGUGUAAAAAGCUUUUAGAAUAAGAGCUGGGCAAGACCGGUGCCAGCCGCCGCGGUAAUACCGGCAGCUCAAGUGGUAGCUGUUUUUAUUGGGCCUAAAGCGUUCGUAGCCGGUUUAAUAAGUCUUUGGUGAAAGCUUGUAGCUUAACUAUAAGAAUUGCUGGAGAUACUAUUAGACUUGAAGUCGGGAGAGGUUAGAGGUACUACCGGGGUAGGGGUGAAAUCCUAUAAUCCUGGGAGGACCACCUGUGGCGAAGGCGUCUAACUAGAACGAUCUUGACGGUGAGUAACGAAAGCCAGGGACGCGAACCGGAUUAGAUACCCGGGUAGUCCUGGCCGUAAACGAUGUGGACUUGGUGUUGGAAUGGCUUCGAGUUGUUCCAGUGCCGAAGGGAAGCUGUUAAGUCCACCGCCUGGGAAGUACGGUCGCAAGACUGAAACUUAA